rnacentral:rRNA from 1 species
GACGAACGCUGGCGGCGUGCUUAACACAUGCAAGUCGAACGGAAAGACCCUGCUUUUGUGGGGUGCUCGAGUGGCGAACGGGUGAGUAACACGUGAGUAACCUGCCCUUGACUUUGGGAUAACUUCAGGAAACUGGGGCUAAUACCGGAUCGGAGCUCCUGCUGCAUGGUGGGGGUUGGAAAGUUUCGGCGGUUGGGGAUGGACUCGCGGCUUAUCAGCUUGUUGGUGGGGUAGUGGCUUACCAAGGCUUUGACGGGUAGCCGGCCUGAGAGGGUGACCGGGCACAUUGGUACUGAGGUACGGCGCAGACUGCUACGGUAGGCAGAAGUGGGGAAUAUUGCACAAUGGGCGGAAGCCUGAUGCAGCAACGCCGCGUGCGGGAUGACGUUCUGCGGGGUGUAAACCGCUGUCGCUUGUGACGAAGCGGGAGUGACGGUAAUGGGUAAAGAAGCACCGGCUAACUACGUG